rnacentral:rRNA from 1 species
CCUACGGGUGGCAGCAGUGGGGGAUAUUGCACAAUGGGGGGAACCCUGAUGCAGCGACGCCGCGUGGGUGAAGGAGUGCUUCGGCAUGUAAAGCCCUAUCGGCAGGGAAGAAGCAAGACGGUACCUGACUAAGAAGCCCCGGCUAACUACGUGCCAGCAGCCGCGGUAAUACGGAGGGGGCGAGCGUUAUCCGGAUUCACUGGGUGUAAAGGGAGCGUAGACGGCCAUGCAAGCCAGGGGUGAAAGCCCGGGGCCCAACCCCGGGACUGCCCUUGGAACUGUGCGGCUAGAGUGCGGGUGGGGCAGGCGGAAUGCGUGGUGUAGCGGUGAAAUGCGUAGAUAUCAGGAGGAACACCGGCGGCGAAGGCGGCCUGCUGGACCGCGACUGACGUUGAGGCUCGAAAGCGUGGGGAGCGAACAGGAUUAGAUACCCUGGUAGUC